ensembl:lncRNA
CUGCAGGAUUCCCCAGGAGAUGAUUCUGGAUACUUUCUCCUAGUCCCUCAGAUCCCACCCCAGUGUGCUUUCCCUUUGCUGGUUCCGCUUCAUGUCCUUUGCUGUCUUAAGUCAUCAUCCUGAGCACGACCAUGUACUGAGUCCCGUGAUUGCCACUCUUAAGUAUCUGCCUCCCCGGGGGUUGGUCUCGGGGACCCUGACCCAGAGCUGCUUUCAUUCACCGAGAGCUGAUCACACAGUUUGGAUCAGGGAUUCAUACAGAGCAGAGCAGAUCAUUCACUGUGACCUUCCCAUCUUACCUGAGGGUUUGUCCAAACCAAGAAGAUGGAAAAGAAUGGGGGGGAAAGGUGGCAUCUGAUGAAAAAGCCAAAUUAAUAUUUUAGAAGUGAUUUACACGUACACAUACAGCUGAUUCACUUCACUGUACAGCAGAAACUAGCACAACAUUGUAAACAAGUUUACUUCAGUAAAUUAAAAAGAGGGAGAAAAAAGUCCUUUUAAGUGGAGAUGAAAAAGGAAGACUUUCCGUGGCUGACGGGAGCACGCCUUGGGCCACACUCAGACCUCUCCGGCCACUUCUCUCCUGGUCUGUGGAAGGUGAGGUCGGUGAGACCCAUAGGUGACUCUGUUUCCCAUGCUAGGCAGACCCCCAGGCCACCCCAGGAGAUGCACUUUCUUCAGGCCUCUUCACUGGCCCAGAGAUGUCCCAGUGCCCUAUGCCAGCCGGGCAGCGUGACAUGUCCUAGUCACUCCCCUCCCAAACUGCCCCCACGAACAUCCAGAUCACCACAGGUCCCACGGCUGAACUGACUGGAGAUGGCUUCUCAGAGGAUGCACUGGACCGGCGGUGGGCACAAUUUUCUGUUCAGCCCCUCACUCUUGUCCCGCUCUUUGAGACCCCAUGGGCUGCAGCACAUCUGGCUUCCCUGUCCUUCCGCAUCUCCUGGAGCUUGCUCAAACUCAUGUCCAUUGAGUCGGUGAUGCCACCCAACCAUCUCAUCCUCUGUCAUACCCUUCUCCUCCUGCCAUCAAUCUUUCCCAGUAUCAGGGUCUUUUCCAAUGAGUCGGCUCUUCACAUCAGGUGGCCAAAGUAUUGGCACAAAGCAGCAUCGAAUCCCCGUUUUCCCCAACCUGCUACUCAAGGAGCCUUCCUUCCAUCUGGAGUUGUCUGUUGGAGUUCCUUGCAUGACAGAGAACAUGACAAUCCAAGCAUUUGAGCAUCUCCUGCCAAGGCAGCAGCUGGAUACAGGUUCUGUGUCCUGCUUGCCAGGCGACGGCUCCUUGUCAACUGCUCAACGAACAGGAUUUCAGACAAGAAUACAUGACUUUCUAUUAUGUGUGGCCAGGGCUGGAAGAGAGCUGUUGGAGGAGAAACUGAUCAGAUUGCAGCUGCAGAUGAGGGACCUUCUAAAUCAAGUCUCUGUAAACCUUCUGAACUUCCCUCAGCCCUCGCACUGCAUUCAGUCCAUUCUGUAGGGGAUGCCUUUGGGGCCAGGUUGCUUAAAGUCCAUAAUUUCUACCUGCAACCUGUAUCUGACAGGUAGCAUGGAUAGAGAAGCCUGGUAGGCUGCAGUCCAUGGGGUUGCUAAGAGUCGGACACGACUGAGCAACUUCACUUUCACUUUUCACUUUCAUGCACUGGAGAAGGAAAUGGCAACCCACUCCAGCAUUCUUGCCUGGAGAAUCCCAGGGAUGGCAGAGCCUGGUGGGCUGCCGUCUAUGGGGUCACACAGAGUUGGACACGACUGAAGCGACUUAGCAGCAGCAGCAGCAGCAUCUUCCAGCCUAGGACCAGAAGGAAUGUUAAUGAUAAAUAAAGCACCCUGGAUGUCCCUUCUUCAGGCGGAGUGAAAGGUUAAUGGUUCAGGAAGACAGUCCUGUGAUUUCUCACGUGUCACAGGCUGUAACCCAAAGAGACCGAGAGAGGGACACAGCAGUGAACCCACGAGGAGGCGGUGACUCCAUGGAAGUCAAGGAGUGACAUGAGAAUCCUGGGAGAAGUUGGCACAGAUGCUUAUUGACUAGGGGCAGGGGGGCAGAUCCUGGAAGCUCUGACUUUCCUGGAUCCGGCGGUGCUGAGAAGUGAUGCUGGCAGAAUCCCAAGGUGGCUGGUGGUGCUGGGGCUUUAGAAGCUGAGUGUAAGCUCCUCUCCUUGGUUUCCUGGCUUGUGAAGUGUUUGGAUCCACGACCCCAAGGCACUUUUUGUUGAACCUUCUGCAUCAAUCAGGUUAGAGCCUUGAGAACAAAGUGAGCAAACUCUAAACAGUCAUCAGUCAGCUAGGAUUUCUAACAGAUGCGUAUUUCUGCACAUCAUAGGUAUCCUAGUGGUGGUGGGUGAUUGACACUGAAUUUAGAGGAGGCAAGACUUUUUGUUUAAUGAGUCACAAAUGUGUAUACUCUAGUAGAUUGCUAGAAAAUGUUACUGUGUUGUUACCCUUUUGUUUUUGCUUAUCAAAAAGACAGGAGUUCACUGAUUUAAAAAUCUAAAUAUAUGCAAGCACAAAGAGAAAACCACAGCAGAGCUCUAUGAUGUGACGCGCAGGAGGAGGAGGGGAGCUGGUUAGGGACUCCAGCACUAGGGGAACAAGAUAUCAGCAGGGCAUUUGAUGUUUUCUGCCCAAGGGAAGGGGAGGAGCCAGAUCCCAAUCCAGCCUUGGAAAGGCAGCCGAAGUAGACUCCUUCCUUCCCUGUAUGGGUGGGAGUUCCUCUGAUAGAACCAGGUGAGUCUCACACCCAAGCUGUGGCACUGACCUUAUGUCCAACAACAAUGACCAGCCAGGGGGGUAGCUCUUUCCCUCUGCAGUCUGACUUCCCUCUCCUCCCAGAAGCACUCCCCCAGCUCUUGCUGGGGUCCCACCCAACAAACUUCUAGGCUGCAGACUGCGCUCUCCAACCCCAGAGGGACCCAACCAUACCAAGUGGCCUGGCCUGGAAAGUCUCUUUGACCUGCAGGGUUGAAACUUGCCUGAAAUACCUAGAGACACCAGGGUAGUCAGAAGGCUGCUUGCAAACGGCUGGUGGAUUAUGACCGUGUGACUCCAGGUGGGGCUGGUUCACUCAGGACCAUAGAAAUGAUGCUCCUGAGAUGUAUCACUGCAUCUCUGCAUCCCUGCCUGGCAUCCCACCUCUCCUCCUAAAGGGCCUUGGUUCCCAUUGUAUCUCAUCUCUUCCCCCUGUGUGUAUGGCUUCAGUUAUCAUUGUACAGGUAGCUCAUCCACCCACUGGAGAAACUAGUUUUCUAGAGGUUCUUCUUGCCAAAUUUUUCUGUUUCCCACCCUGGUACUGGGGCAGGGGGUGGGGCUUGAUAUGUAAGCUUGACCAAGUGGGUGCUUUUGUUUGGAACUCUGAAUGUUUGUGGACGGCGUAAGGGGAAAAGUCAACAGUUGGAGAAUGUUUAUUUCAAUAGCAAGUUCCUGGGUUGGGGGAUAGGAACUUUCUAGCGGUUCCAAAACUGCCAAUAAAGCAGGGGUAGCCCUCUGCUUCCUGAGCCUGGUUCUCGAACCUUUCUUUCUUUUUAAAUGCAAUUUUUAAAGAUUACACUCCAUUUCCAGUUACAGUAAGUCCACUACAUACGAAUCUUCAAGUUGCAAACUUUCGAAGAUGCAAAUUUGCAUCGGGUUCCAGCAAGGAACCAGAACCUGUGUUCCAUCAACAUCAGGCAUGAGUGAAGUUGCAGUUUGCCCUCCGUCUCCUAUUGCUGACGAUCCUUCAGCUCUACCAUCUCCCACCUCCACUCCCUCCUUCAGUCAGUAACUCUUCUUGCCUGUUCACUUUAUACCAGCCCCCAGAUGCCAGCUGUCGGACUGUAUCAUUGUACUUUUCAAGGUCCUGUACUGUAAGAUUAAAUUUUUCCUUAUUGUUUUUAUGUAUGUAUUAUUUGUUUGAAAAGUAUUAUAAAACUAUUAUGGCAUAGUACUAUAUAGCCUAUUGUGUUAGUUGGGUCCCUAGGCUAACUUUGUUGGACUUAAGAACAAAUUGGGCAUAUGAAUGUACUCUCAGAGCAGAAUUUGUUCUUAUGUAGGGGACUUACUAUAUUACAAAAUAUUGGUUAUAUUCCCCUUUUUGCAUAAUACAUCCUUGUAGGCUAUCUUCCAUUUUUUUCUUUCAUCUCCUGUGUGUUCCCACUUCCUCUCCAUAAAGCCCCUUGCUGAUGAAGUCAGCCACAGUUUGGUUUCUUUUCUGUUGCUUGCAGCCAGUAUAGAACCUAAGCUGCUGGAAUAGUGAUGCUUCAUUUCGGUCAGAGUUGAGACAAGAGGCCAGAAGGGAGUGAACGCAGCCCUGGAUGGGUGGGUUCCUCGGCAGGCUCCCCUGCACGGCUGCCCUGUGCUGUCUGACCAGGGCAUCCUCCUUGCUGGGGAAUUGCCUGUGUCUGACUCACUCUGAGGCUGAGCUUGGAGAAACAGUCGCCUGUGAGGAUGACUUAAGGAGCUGGUGUUUUCAUACCUCUUACAAAGAAACUCACAGGAGAUGAUCAAAGCAUCAUGAAUAAGCAAUGUGUUCAUGUCGAGUGUGUGGAAACACGGUCUUGGUCUGAAAACAUUGCAGAAAUCCUGUGAAAGAAAUCUACAAGUGCUUGGGAGGUAACUAUUAGCUGGGGCUGUGUGUGGUGAAUGUGAGGAAGUCAAUCAAAUGGGUGAUACCGUCUAUCAGAUAUAAUCCUGACUGGCUGGUACAUUGUGUUCCGAACCCUUGCUAUCAUCUUGAGAGCUCUUUUUCUCUCUUUAGAAGGAGCAUGGUCAGCCCCUUCAGGAGAAUUUUUUAAGUGCUCAAAUGCUCUGCACGUGCUUGUCACAGGAUGUGAACCACAUUGAUGUAGACAUUAAACCUGGCUGAGGAGCCUCAUCUCAGCAACUGUAGCCGGUAACUUGGGACGAGCUGGGUUUCCAUGAAAGCAUCAGAGUCCUUUGUCACGGUGACUUGGACUCUCCUGUAGCCAUUCACUUCAGUCGCUUCAAGUUGGACAUGACUGAAGCGACUUAGCAGCAGCAGCAAGCAAAAGGCAUCUUUUUGCACCGGGACAAAGGUCUAUCCAGGUUGUGAUUUGAAAUUGAGAAAUAUUGAUAGGUUCUAGACUGUCCCAGUUCAUAGUCUGCAGCUUGCUGUGAAGAUAUUCAUUUUCACCGGCACACUUUGAGAUACGGUUUGGCUGAAAGCCACCAACAAACAGUCUUGCUAUGAAAGAGAAGACACUUAGCAGAGUUCCUUUUGGAAAUGACUCUCUCAGCCUCUGCCUCUCCAAUCCACACUCCUCCCCAAACCUGCCACAGCCGUGAAAGCCUGCUUUCGUGGAUGGAGCUAAGAAGCUUUGCAAAUGAAUGAAUCCUUCCUAGGAGCCAUCUUGGGCAUCUCUGGAAACGCAGCUCUUCCUUUCUACGACCUCUUCUGGGCAAUUAGUGGUGGAAAAAUUGUGAAAUCGUGGCCAUCUCAGGAAAUCAACAUUCUCAGGAUUAUUUUUCUUUAUCACUGUUGUUAAUUUGUUUUGUUUUGUUUUUAAAGAAAAGUGUAGAGGAGAAAAUAACAUGUGGAAUUCCCAUCACAGAGAUUCCCAAAAGCUAUAUUUCAGUGUAUUUGCUUCCAGUUAUUAUUUUUUUAAUUAAUUUUUUUCACUGCACCUGGCACCUUGCAAGUUCCCAGACUAGAGAAUGAACCCAGGCCAUGUCAGUGAAAGCUCCAAAUCCUAACCACUACGCCACCAGGGAACUCCCGCCUCCAGUUAUUUUUAUUGUCUAUAAUUCUAAAAAGUUACACAUUGCCCUGACCUUUUGAAAGUUUUUUUCUUUUUUCUAAAAAAUAUAGUUACCUGUGCUACGAGUAGGACUUUGUUGUUUAUCAACUUUUCCUUUUUUUAAAAAAGUGAAGUACAGUUGAUUUAGAAUGUUGUGUUAUUUUCAGAUAUACAGCAAAUUGAUUCAUAUAUAUAUAUAUUCAGAUUCUUUUUCAUUAAAGGUUAUUACAAUAUAUUGUGUAUAGUUCCCUGUGCUAUACAGUAGGACCUUGUUGGUUAUGGAUAUUAUAUAUAGUGGCAUAUAUAUUAAUAUAUAUUGAUCCCAAGUUUCUUAAACUUUUGCUUAUGAAAAUAUUCAAUCAUACUGAGAAAUUGAAAGCAUAGUACAAUCACCCUUAGCAGACACACCAUGUAAACGCAAUCAUUUUAAAAACUGUCACAUUUAGUAGUCUGCUUGUCUAUCUAUACACUUGUCUGUCAAUCAAUCUAUCAUCUAUUUUGAAUCAACUAAUUCAAAGAUACAGGUAUGGUGCCACUUCUUGACUUUAUUAUGUAUCAUCUUAAAGUGAGAUUAUUUCCUACAUGACCAUGAUAUCAUGCUCAUAUCUAAAACUUCCAUCACUCUCCAGUAUUACCUAAUAUCCAGCCCAUACUCAAAAGUUCUUAGUUGUUCCUAGGAUAUAUUUUUAUCCCUUAAAAAAAUUAAACCAGGAUCCAAACCAGAUUUACAUGUUAUAUUGACUGCCAUGUCUCUUUAGUCUUUUACUUGAAAACACUUUUCCCUCCAGGCCAUUGAUUUAUUGAAGAGACAAGAUCAAUUGUACGUUUUGCCUUUCAAAGUAAAUUAAGCAUAAUGAAUAACGCCAAAUUCCUUUUUAAUUUAUAGAGUCACCUCAAUAUCCACCCCAAACCCCAGAUCAUCCACUGUUAUUAGGAUAUUGUAUAUCCUUCCAAAUUUUAAAAUGAAAGUGAAAGUCACUCAGUCAUGUCCGACUCUUUGCAACCCCAUGGACUAUACAGUCCAUGGAAUUCUCUAAGACAGAAUACUGGAGUGGGUAGCCAUUCCCUUCUCCAGGGGAUCUUCACAACCCAGGGAUCAAACCCAGGUCCCCUGCAUUGCAGGCCAAUUCUUUACCAGCUGAGCCACAAGGGAAGCCCAAUUUUAAGAUACAGUUUUCCAUUUAUCUAUGGACCCACAUCUCUAGAACCAUCUAUCUCCUUAGAAAAUAUACGGUGUUUUUUAAAUGUAGAUUUUUUCAUAGAUACAUCACACUGGGCAUGUGAUUCCUUAUACUGCUAUUCUCACCCUGCCUAUGUUUGGGAGAGGUAUUUGGGUUGAUAAAUGUCCUUAUUCAUCUCAGUAUUGGGUUUUGCCAUUUUCUGUGAGGGACAUUCUUAUGCAUCUCCCUCCACACAGCUAUGAUGGCUGCAAGAGCUGGUAUUUGAGACGUGCCCUGUGCAGAAUGACUCUAAAUGCCCAUGAGGCUUCGCUCACCUCCCUCCUUGCAGCCCAGUUGCUGAGGACCCCUGCCUGAAACAAAGACGGGAAGCUCUGGAGACCUUUCUUGGCCAGAGGCUACAGUAAUAAAGUGCUGCCUCUUUAACCCAUGUGGUUGAUGUUGUAUGUGGCUGAAACGAUCACUGCAAGCUUCUGUAGGGGCUUCGCCAGUGUCUCAGUGGUAAAGAAUCCACCUGCAAUGCAGGAGACAUAAGAGAUGUGGGUUCGAUCCCUGGGUUGGGAAGAUCCCCUGGAGGAGGGCCUGGGAACCCACCCCAGUAUUCUUGCCUGGAGAAUCUCAUGGACAGGGCAGCCUGGUGGGGCUACAGUCCACAGGGUCGCACAGAGCUGGACACGCCUGAAGUGACUUCAUGCAUGCAAACUUCUGUAGGGAUUAUGUCAUACUUAUUUGCAUACUGAACACAUAGUAGCCGCUAUGGGUUAAAUAUUUAACUGAAUUAAUUAAUGUUUCCCUAAAGAGGGGCUUUCUCAACAACAGGAUCCAGUUCUCUGAUCCCCUUUGAGACUCAGGGCUGUGGAGUAUGUUUUUGAGGAAGCAGAUCAAUAACUGUAUCCCUGGUUCCACAGGCACAAAGAACCCAGGAUGAAUCAUGAGUGACUUUGAAGAUAAGCACUGUGUGCGUGCUGGGAGAUAAUUGUAUUUCAGAGCUCAUAAACCGCUCCCCAAACACCAAGGCCUCUAGACUGGGCUAAACGAUGCCUGGGAGCUCAGCACCACUGUCAUAACAAAACUCAAUUAAGGCAUCAAGCUGAAAGCCAGGCUGGACAGUAAAUUAAUUUUUAAUCCAUGGAUAUCACGCAGUUUUCAGCAUGAUGGAUGUGCAACAACCCAGCGGCUGCCAAUCCAACAGGAAAUAAAAUAGAUAAUCACAUUCGCCACAGUGGGUCUGUCUCUCCCCAACCUUAGCAUGAGUGGUGGCCCUGAGACUCCAGGCAGCUGGGAGGGUUUGUCUGAGCCCACUUAAGGUCAAGAGUCCUGGUGACUUGAGCUCACUCUGUUCAGGUAGUGAUCUUAAUGAUUGCUAGUGGUUCUCCCAGUUAGUUAAACCACAUAGUGAAUUAGCUCUGACAGCAAGAGGGUUUUGUUUGUAUUGUUUGUCGCUAAGUUAUAUCUCUUUUGCAAUCCUGUGAACUGUAGCCCACCAGGCUCCUUUGUCCAUGGGAUUUCCCAGGCAAGAAUACUGGAGUGGGUUGCCUUUUCUUACUCCAGGGGAUCUUUCCGACCCCGUGAUCGAACCCUGGUCUCUUGCAUUGCAGGCAGAUUCCUUACCAUCUGAGCCACCAGAGAAGCCCCAUUAAGAGUGUUACUCAAGCUUAAUUCCCAAACAGACUUAUCAUUCAGUGAAAGGCAUGAGUGCCCACCCAGAGUGGAGUCUGGCUUUGCAGAAAAUGUCUGGGUCAGGUUCUGGCAGGAAAUGAAGGACCCAUUCAACUAGGGUUUUAGAGAAACUACGGGGGCUAUUUAUAGGUGUGUGGGCACGGUUAGGAGACCCAGUAAGAGGCAGUGCUACAGGCAGGAUGUGGCAACAGUAGGGGGCUGUUAUCAUCCAUAAACUCCAAGGGGGAGAAGCAGCCGUGGAACAGCUUGGCUGACUCCUGUAGCUGAAGAGGGGGUCAUCUGACAGAAACUGGGGCCAUGAAAAGAGGAAACCUCCUCCAGGACCAUGGAAAGCAAGCAGGCUCAGAGGAAUAAGAACUCUGAUCUCUCUCUCUGACCACCCAGUGGUUGCCUGCUAGUCCUCCUGUGGCUGAAUCCAGCCAGAUGGAUGCCACAGGAUAAGGAAGCCAGCCAAGUGAUGGAGCCCCCGAGGUCAGCUCCCCACCCCAAGGCACAGGGCAGAGUGGAGGACAGCAUGAGAGUCAGAGGAGAAUCAUCCAUGGAGUAGCUCAUAUAUCAGUACGUGAAUGGAACCAGGAUCCUACUGUUAGCAGGUUCUUUCCAAACAUGGCUGCAAAAAUAUCUUCUGUCCCACCUGCUCCUUUGCAGUGUGACCACUCCUUCCACGCCCAGAGGUGGAGACCAUUUUUCCAGCACUGGAAUCCAGUGGAUCCUGUGAUCGCUUUAAUAGAAUAGAGAUUUCAUGCUGUUUUGGGGUGUUGUGUUUAACGGACCUGCUGGCUUCCAUUUCCUGGAAGUAAAAAAGUGCAACUCCCCUGAGUGCACCAUGCUGAGAGAUGCAAGCCAAGUGAAAGAGAGUCAGAGACGGACAGAUUGAGGACCACCAAUGCGCGGACACGGGAGUCGAGCAUCCUCCUCACCCACCCGCUGUCUUCCUGAUGCCAUGUGGAACAGAGAUGAACCACCCUGUGAGCCUUUCCUGAAUUCCUGGACUGGAUGAUCCUAAGCAAAAGAGAUGGUUCUUUUUGGUCAGUUUUGGAGUUCUCUGUGAUACAGCAACAGAAUAUAGAAACUACUCAUAGGGAACUGAUGGAAUGGGCAGGAAGCGCACGUGUGAGAAAGGCAUUCUUUAAGGAAUCUUCUCCUUGUGUUCACCAGUUUGAUGGCUUUGCUUUUGCAUGAACAAAAACACAGUUUAAUUGAAAUAUACCUAAAAUUUCAUCAACAUGGAGGAAUGGAUAAGGAAGAUGAGUACAUAUAUACAAUGGAAUAUUACUCAGCCAUAAAAAGGGAGUGGACCUGGCUCAUUUGUUUUGAUGUGGAUAGACCCAGAGACCGUCCUAUACAGUGAAAUCAGUCAGAGAUAGAAAAAACAAAUAUCGUAUAUUAACUCAUAUACGUGAAAUCUAGAAAAAUGGUACAGGUGAUCUUAUUUGCAGAACAGAAAUAGAGACGCAGAUGUGGAGAGCAAACGUAGGGACACCAAGUGGGGAGGAGGGGAUGGGAUGAAUCGGGAGAUCUGUGUUGACAUAGAUACACUAUGGAUACUAUGCGUAAACUAGGUAACUAAUGAGAACCUACUGUGCAGCGCAGGGAACUCUAUUCAGUGCUCUGCGGUGACCUAAACGGGAAGGAAAUCCAAAAAAGAGGGGAUAUGUGGGUACAUAUAGCUGACUGGCCUUGCUGUUCAGUGGAAACUAGCAACACUAUCAAGCAACUAUACACCAAUAAAAACUUAAUUAAAAAUAAAAGUAUUGAAAUAUGUAGUUCCUGUUUAAUGUAUAUAUUUAUAAUCAAAAUAUGAUAAUACACUAUGACAACAUACAUCAUUAAGAAGCCUAUAGUGAAAAAACAAUAUCUUUUUCUUCUUCCAUGGAUUUUAAAGGCAUGCUUCCUCAUCUUUCAGUUAUAUGAGUAUUUGGAUGAACUAAAAAGCAGAGACAUUACUUUGCCAACAAAGGUCCGUCUAGUCAAGGCUAUGGUUUUUCCUGUGGUCAUGUAUGGAUGUGAGAGUUGGACUGUGAAGAAAGCUGAGCGCUGAAGAAUUGAUGCUUUUGAACUGUGGUGUUGGAGAAAACGCUUGAGAGUCCCUUGCACUGCAAGGAGAUCCAGCCAGUCCAUUCUAAAGGAGAUCAGCCCUGGGAUUUCUUUGGAAGGAAUGAUGCUAAAGCUGAAACUCCAGUACUUUGGCCACCUCAUGUGAAGAGUUGACUCAUUGGAAAAGACCCUCAUGCUGGGAGGGAUUGGGGGCAGGAGGAGAAGGGGACGACAGAGGAUGAGAUGGCUGGAUGGCAUCACUGACUCGAUGGAUUUGAGUCUGAGUGAACUCCGGGAGUUGGUGAUGGACAGGGAGGCCUGGCG